rnacentral:rRNA from 1 species
UACAGAGGUCUCAAGCGUUGUUCGGAUUCAUUGGGCGUAAAGGGUGCGUAGGUGGCGCCGUAAGUCGGGUGUGAAAUUUCGAGGCUUAACCUCGAAACUGCAUUCGAUACUGCGGUGCUUUGAGGACUGGAGAGGAGACUGGAAUUCAUGGUGUAGCAGUGAAAUGCGUAGAGAUCAUGAGGAAGACCAGUGGCGAAGGCGGGUCUCUGGACAGUUCCUGACACUGAGGCACGAAGGCCAGGGGAGCAAACGGG